rnacentral:hammerhead_ribozyme from 1 species
AUCCAGCUGAUGAGCCCCGAAUGGGGUGAAACGCGCAUCCUGUAU